rfam:Felis catus isolate Cinnamon breed Abyssinian chromosome C1, whole genome shotgun sequence.
CCAAAGGCUCUUUUCAGAGCCACCCACCUUCUCGGGGAAAGAAGCG